GAUAAGAUUCUGGGUAUCUCUGUUUACGGAGGUAAAAGGCUGUGGUGCUACUUGUAGUUGCAGGUGCAGAGAGAGAAAGGUGAAAGAAAUAAGCAAAAGAGAGAAACGGGUUUUCAUUUUUGUCCGAAUGGGUACUCAGAAAAGAUAGAUAGAGAAAAGAAAGAGCAAAAGAGAAGGCGUUUUUAGGGUCUGAGAGCUGCCAUUAGGAAAAAGAGCUGCAAGCUCUGUUUUUCUAGAGAGAGAAAUCUUGUUUCUUUUGCUUUUAUUUUGCGGGUAGAGAGAGAAACAAGAAUAGCAGUAGAGGAAGAAGAAGAAGAAGAAGGAGAGUCAAAAGACGGAGUAAGGCAGAUUAGAAGGGUAUUUAUCAAGUGGGGAGGAGUGGACACAGCUGUUCCUCACAUGCCAUGUGCCUCUCCCUUCUUCUUCUCUCCCUCACUCCCUCACUAUACCACAGAAAACCCAUUUGUUUAACAUAGUUUUCUGUCUCUAAUCUAAACUUUUCUAUGUCCUAAUAAUCCUAUUUUAAUCAUCUCUUGUCUCUUUAAGCAUGCUGUUUAGGGUACGUGAACAAUUUUUAAUGCAGUUAAAAAGCAAGAGAGAAAGAGAAAUUUUCUUUUCUUUGGGAAGAAAAAGAUAUUGUCUCUCUGUCUCUCUACUUCUUCCUUCUCUAAAAAAAAGAUUAUUUCUUUAUAGUGUACGUGUGAUCAACGAUUGAACCAUCACUAUCAAUUAAUGGGGAAAGGAGAUUCCAUCUAAUUAAUUAAAUUACAAUUUAAUUAAUUAAAUAUGUAAAAACCCUUUUUGGUCACGAGGAUAGGAUUUUUAAUCAAAGUGAUUUUUGGCAUUUAUAAGUAGAGCACUCCUUUUCUUGCUUCUUGCAUUGGGAAAGUUGAAGAGAGGGUAAAGUUAUUACUCUGCUCCUACUAUAAAUAUAAUCAAAAUAAGAGGUACUUCUAACAAUGAAGCAUAAAAGCAAGAAAGACCCAUGUGUUCACCUUGUACUAUAUGUAUACACACAUGCCUAUUACUCUUCUCUUAAUUUGUGCAAUUUAAUUUUGACAAUUUUUUUUUUGGAAUAAGAUUUUACUUUUUGCAUACUUUGAUUUAUGAAUUAGAUUAGAAUAAUUUUAAUUAAAAAUUAAUUUUUCUUAAAAAAUAUGAUGAUUUUAAUAUAUCUUUAAGUGGGUCAUCACACAAUAAUAAUAAUAACUUUGAAUGCAACUUAUUUUAGUCACACGUGUGGUUCCACAAUUUUUCUCCUCAAAGGUGGAGUGAAAAUCACUUCAAACCACUUAUAAAUUGCAAUACCCAAAUGUAGGUUUUAUUUCUUUUUAAGUUUGGACAAUUUUUUCUUGAAUGGACAGUCCUUGUUUUAAUGGUGACAAACACCAUUAAGAGUUUGGACCAUUUUGAUGCAAAUGGUCUAUUCUUUGAUUAUGCAUUAAAAUUCAAAGUAUUUGUGAGAAUUGUUUAUAGUUGAGCAACUUUGUUGUAUAUGGCCUUUUUUUUUCUUCCAAGAUUUUGCAAUCUUUUGUAUCACAUACCAUGUCAAAAUUAGUUAGAUAAAGGGAAUUUUCACAGAAAGAUGUGUAUAUCAAGCUGAAUAUAGUUGUCAUCAAAUUUUGACUUUCAUAGAAUUGUAUUUCUCUCUUUCUUUCUUCCAGUGUUGAUUUAUAGUUUUAAAGUUGAAUUGCUAUCUUUUCUUACACAAUCUUCUUACUCAAAUAUCACUGUUUUAGAUUGUCACACUCAAAUUGUAUUAUUAUGUUGUAACUUUAGAAAAUCAAUGUGUAUUUUGUACAAGAGAGUAUAUAUAUGUGUUUAGUUAUAAAAUGCAAGCACACAGUGUGAUUUUCUUAAAUUAAAUUCAUCCUUACUAUUUUAAGGUAAUAAAUGAUUCAUAAGAAAACUCUAAACAUUAAAAACUUAAAAUCUUGGGUAUUAAAAUUAUGAGAUAAUUCUAUCAUAUGAAUAAAUUAUAAACCAUUUAUACUUUGUCAAUCUCAUUUUUAAGAUAUUAAAAUUACUUAAUACCUAUUUAGGAAUCACGGAUCUUCAAAAUUGUUAUUUUUAUAAAUUUACUUUCAAUUUUUAUUACUAUUUUUUAUUUACUUUUAAUUACUUUCAAUUUUUUUUAUCUUAAUCCUACUAAUAACAUUUUCUAAGUAGGAUGCUGAAUAGGAUAUAUGUAUAAAUAUUUUUUUACUUUAGUUGUAUAAUUUAUGCACAAAUAGAUAAAUAAUUAAGUAUGUGUAAAUAUAAAAUAUUAAUUAAUAUGUAUUAUUUUGUUAUUUAUUAUUGUGCAAAUACUUAGCAUAGUAAGAAUUAGUCUAUAUCACACUCAACUACAAUAAAAAUUUAAUUUCUAAGAAUAUCCCCACAUAUCAAAAAGAAUAUUAAGAUAAAGUAAAAAUAAUUGGUGUAUUCUUUCAUUUUUUGUUAAUGUAUGUAUUAUUCAAAAUCAUAGAGUAAGGAAAAAAAAAAAGAACAAGCUGACAUCACAGUGACAAGAUUGUCCUUACGGUAUAUUAUUGGCACUCGUGUAACAAAAAGGCUGCCUCAAAUUCUGGUAACUUUUAAAACCUUCUCCACUCUCAUUCAAGGAGCGUGCGCUACCAUCACUUAACCAUGGGUCGCACAGAUCUCCGCAAAUUCCAAAACAAUUGUUAGCGUUUAUAUCGAACGACUUUGACCUACUUAGCGCUAGUUGACAAACACACUAAUCAAAUAAUUUGCGCAUGCUUUACACGCUCCACAAGUGUCGCUUGAAGGAUUAGAUUUUAUUUUUUACUUGCCAUUACUGGUACUGUACAUCGGGGCCCACAAGUCACAGCUAAUCAUAACCGCUGAUUCUUUUUGACGGUCAAGAUCUAUUGCUGGAAAUAAAAGGUCACUUAUUGUACUUUUGGGACCAAUAAUUUAGUUCUUGUCUUCUAAUAUCUAGCAGUAAAUCUAGUACUCACUCAUGGAAUUACUCAACUGCCCAUUUAUUUAUUGGGGGAGACUAACCUCAACAGCCGGGGCAUUUAGGUAAAUUUGGUGUUUCAGGUGUUUCUGAAAAGAGGGACGUGGAAAUUAUAUGAAUUCUUAUGUUAUAAUAAAAUAGAUUUUAACCAUAUUUGUAAACUUUCAGGGACAUUUUGGUCAGUACAUGUAAUUAUGUAUUUGUAGUUGGAAAAUUUUGCUGCCCUUUUUUUUUAGAUAAUCAGUCACUUAAUCUAGUCGUAACGUGAGAUGAUUUUUAAAAAUAAUGUUUGAUUUAUAUUUUACCUAUCUUAUAAUAGUAAUUUUAUACUUAAUUUAUAUUUUUUCUAUAAAUUUAGAUCUUAAAUUUGAAAUUUAAUUCAUUAAUUCAUUAAUGAAAUAAUCUACUCUCUCUAGCUCUCAAUUUGACUAAAACAUUUCUUUAGCUCUUUUGCAUUAGGGGCAUCAAGAACCGGAAUGGAUAUCACAUAUUUCCUUUUCUUUGAUCCAUAGCUAACAACUCAUCAUACCAAGUGCGUCAGCCUCACUCCCUUGGGACUACCAGUAGUUUCGGUUGUUGAAUCUCAUGCAAGUUAGGCUGUGGUUGUAUUGGCCGUAAGCAAAAUAAAGGGGCUUUAGGUGUGUGUUGACCAUGCGCUCUCGCAUCAUGUAAUGUUGUAUGUAUGAUAAAGGUGGUGUGGUGAUUGACAACAAUACUAAUGGUUAUCCCCAAGGUUCAACAAAUGAAUAAAGCUAUUAUCAUAACCGAAUAGAGAUGAUGGUCUUCCUCUGAUGUCUCUAGGUCGACUAUAAUAGAAUAGAUAGGCAAAGCAGCCAAUAAUUGUCUGUUCUCGCCUGUCGAUAAUAGCAGGUUGCUUCCAAGCUCAAACCAUUUGAAACUUAAUUGCUUUCAACACAGUUGUCUCUCUAGUUGUUUGAAACCUUUUGAGGCAUGUUGAGCCGCUUGUUGUAUUCAAAAGCCUUAUAUUUUAUUUUCUCAUUUGGACGACCCGCACUUAAAUAUAAAAAGCGACAAAGGAUACAAUGAAAAAGGUAAAUAAAUAAAAACUUAUAUCUUCUUUUAAUAGGGAGGAUAUGCUCUAUACUAUGGAAGACAUCAUGUUCAUUUUACUUUCUCUUCUUUCUUUCUUGUCUAUUCUUAUUUUACCCUUCGUUCCUUUUAUCUUGGGCAUCUCUAAGGUACAUUAAAAACUAACUCGAUAUCCUCACUGAACAAAGGGAGGAUUAUUCAGGGCAAGCUCAAUGUAUAAUGAGGAUGAAAUAACGGUUGGAUGGUUAGGACAUCUUAUCUUUAAUCCUAGGCCACAAGCAUAAAUCAUUGGCGCGGAAUAUAAUCCCAAAGUACUCCAAAGACUCAAAUAUAGUAAAUAAAUGAGAUGGUAAGACCCUUGCAAAGUUCCCUAAUAGCAUAGAGCUUAGAAAGCUCAGACCCGGGCAAGAUCCGAAAAACAUAAUAACCCGUCUCCCGCGUUCUCACUUCCUUUGAGAAAGUUUCUAAGCGUGGAUCAUAGACCAACAAGUUCACUAGCAAGGAAUAAACUCUGUGACUUAGUUCCAGCCUUCCCCCCAUACUUAGAUUGGGUGAUUGGAUUACUGUAAACAUUUCUUACAGUGCUAUCAUAACACAUGACCACAUCUUGAAGGAUGGAGUGAAAAAGAGGCAAAAUAGGGUAAACAGGCACGUAGGCAUAGGUCUUCCACUAUCACCUCUGAUGUGCCACUCGUCAAUUGAGAAACUUGGGGAGGCUAUCUUCAUGGUACCAAUGACUAGGGUCAGGGGGCCAUUAUAUAAAAUAAGGCAACUUAAACAUAUGCUUGGAAGGUGGAGCCUAUUGAUACAGAAAGAAGGGAGGCCAGACUUUUCCAACUGUGGUUCCAAUCUGUAUGGAAUAAUUUAAAUUAAUUUAUAAUUACAAUAAAAAAACUUGUCUGCUUAUAUAUUUUUUUAACUAUUUUUUACCAAAUUUAUUUUAAUAUUAUAUUAACUAAUAAAUUAAUCUUUAAUUAAAUAAUGACAUAUUAAUAUUAUAUUAAUUAAUAGAUUAGUUUUUUAAUUAAAUAAUCAUUUUGAUCCUAAAACAUAAUAAAUUAAAUUACAUUUAGUAAUAAAUUAAUCUCUAAUCUUAAAACAUAAUAAUCAAAAUAAUCUGAUAGGUAAGAAUAUAUGAAUAUGAACUUAAGAUUUAAUAAAAAUAUGUUUCUUUGUUAGUAAUUAUUUUCUUUAAUAUUUCUAUGUUAUAUUUUUUUUAAAGAGUACAAUGAAAUUAAUAAAAAUUUACAAAAUCAUAAGCUUGAUAAUAAAAAAAGUGUUAUAUAUAUAUAUAUAUAUAUAUAUAUAUAUAUAUAUAUAUUUAAAGUCUCAAUUUAUCUCCUAAAUUUGGAGUCAACAACAAUCCAUCCAGAUUUUAAUUUUUUGAUUAAUUUAUCCAGUGGUCAUUUCAUUUUAAAUAGAGAAUUUAAUUCAUUAAAAAAUUAAAUUUUACACUAAAUGUCAAGCUAUAUAAAAAAAAAUUUCUUUACUUAUAAUACAAUUAUUUAUGUUUAACGCAAUUAAAUUCUAAUAUCUAAUAUAAAUAAUUGAGUAAUUUGUUGGAGAAUUUCUUAAUUAAAUAACAUUACUAAAAUUAUAUAAGAUUAUAUUUUAAAAAAUGAGAGUAAAAAAUUUUAUUUUAGUAAUAUUUAAUUUUAAUUUCUAAUAAAAAUAAUUUAAUUACUGUUUCAGUCUCAGAUUUAAUUCAAAUUUUUGAAAAUUAUCUAGGGAAGAUACUCUGUAUGACUUGUUAUUCUUAAAAUUACUUAAUCCAUUAUGAUAAAACUAAUUUAAAAUAUUUUUGUUAUUAUCUUAAUAUUUAUUAUUUAUAAAAAUUUUCAGUUCUAUUAAAUUUUUAUAAAUAUGAUAAAUUACCACAAUUCAUAAUUCAUAGGCAUUAAUCUUAGUUGGUAAUUAUUAAUUCUAUUAAACACUAAAAAAUUAUAUAAAAUUAAAUAAUUUUUAUCACGAUCCGAUCUGUGGGCCCGUGACCAACGCUAGGGAAUGGGCAGGCUUAAGGCCACUGAAACUCAUAGCAAGUGUAAUUAGCCAAAAAUCUAAAUAAAUACCUAAUUAUAUACUUUUAAAACAAAUCAACAUUUCACUCACAAAUCUACACAUGGUUAAGUAAUCCUCCAGCUAGAUUUCUAGCAAUGUCCCACAAUUUUAACAGAUCAAAUUAAAAUAUAAAAUACCAAGUAAAUUGCUGCGGAGAGUAUAGAAUUCCAAGUAGUUUACAAGUACAAAAGUAAGAUUUAAUUACACUAUACUCGAAGGGAGAAGGGAAGUCGGGCUACAAAAGAUGUCGGCGGAGAACCUAACUGUCACCUGAAAAAUUUAAAAUUGAAACUGUCAGUCUCGAGUAUGAGUUAAAAACAUAUAUCUGCAGUAAAACAACUAUAAAUAUCCAUGUGGAAUGGUUGAUAAAAUAAUGUGGUACAUCACAAACUAAUAAGCAAGUGUCAUAGCAUAAUUUUAAAUAAUUGAUUUUUUUUUACUCAUAAAAGACGAGUAUUUCAGCAGCACUCUAACCCCAAUACUAGUAGCCUUUCGGCUCUUUUAUUCCAAUACGACCGACACCUAGAGAGCGAAGCUUAACUAGGGUCCUUAAAUCCAGCCUGGUCACUUGAUUUCUAAUAAAUUCGGUUCCCAAAGAGCAACGCUCGACCAAGGACCUUUCCUCCAACAAUCAAAUUCUCAUAGCCCAGAGAAUUAUACUCGACUAGGGCAAAUCCUAAAAUAUUCUUUUAUUACAUAUCUCUGAUUAAUACCGAUCCGCACGCUGUCCUGAUGCUACCCAUCAGGUGGCAUGUUCUACUACCGCCUCAUCCCGAGUCAAUAUGAAAUCAUAAUAUCGAUAUUGUAAAAAAUGAUUUAUGAAUAGCAAGUAACUAAACUAUUAAUCAAUAACGUAUUAAAUAAUACUGAACAUCACGUAAUUGUUAUCGUAAAUUUAUUUAUUUAAAUAAAUAGUAAAUAGAUAAUUAAUUUCAUAAAAUGAUUAUUUAGAUGAAUAAUAAAUAACUAAUCUAAAAUUUAUAAAGCAAUUAAUUGGAUAAAUAAUAAAUAAAUAGUUUAAACCUAUAAAUUAAUUAAUUAAAUAUAAAAUAAGAAUUUCCAGUAAUAUUCACCAUGACAAAUAAAUAUAUACAUAUAUAUAAAUACAAUAAUAAUAUAAAUAAUUAAUCGAAAUUGCUAUAUAAAAAUUCGGCAGAGCACAUGUAUAUAGAGGAAGAAGAAGAAGAAGAAGAAGGAAGUCAAAAGACGGAGUAAGGCAGAUUAGAAGGGUAUUUAUCAAGUGGGGAGGAGUGGACAUAGCUGUUCCUCACAUGCCAUGUGCCUCUCCCUUCUUCUUCUCUCCUUCACUCCCUCACUAUUGUCACGACCCCACCCGUGGGCCCGUGACCGGCACUAGGGAAUGGGUAGGCGUAAGGCCACCGAAACCCGUAGUUAGCCUGACACUCACUGACUUAAACAAAUCUCAUCUCAAAUUAAUAUUAUUAAAGCCACAAAUUAUCUUAAAUGCUACAUUUUACAUAAUUUAAUCGGUCUGCCAGAAGAACUAGACGAGACCUGAAACUCAGAAAAUUUACAACUGAUACAUCUACUAUUACUACUGCGGAGAAUCUAAGAUUUACCAAUUUACAUACCAAAUCAAAUACGUCACCCGAUGAUGAAGGAGUCGGGUUACUGAAUAAGAGUCGUGAGAGGACUAACAGUCACGAAUCUGAAAAACAGUAAAAAUGAGACUGUCAGUCUCGAGUGUGAGUUAAAAUCAAAUAAUCUGGGGACUAUUGCAUUCUUCUCAGAAAACAUAGAUUAUUCAAAUCAGUAUAUCAAACCAUGCACAUAAAUACCAAUCAUACUAUAAUCAUACCCUAUUACUUUCUUCACAGAAAAUAUUGAUCAUUCGAAUCAAUAUAUCAACCAUGCACGUAAAUACAAUCCAUAUUAUAAUCAUACCUUAAUAAAUAAAUAAAUGAAUAAAUAAAAAUAUAUUUUUACUUUUACGGGACGAGUGGCUCAGUAGAACCCUAACUCCAAAUUCUAUCAGCCAUUUUGGCUCUCUUAAUCCAAUAAGACUGGCGCCCACGACCAGGGACCUUACCUCCAGUCUGAACACUUGAAUUCCAAAUAAGCCGGCGCCCAGAGAGCAAUGCUCGACCAGGGACCUUACCUCUGGCAAUUUACUCAAAUCAGCCCAGAGAGCCAUGCUCGACCAGGGCAAACCCAUGAAAAUCUUAUUACAUGUCCAUGAUCAUUACCGGUGCGCACGCGGUCCUGAUGUAACCCAUCAGGCGGCAUGUUCUACAAGCCACAUUUCCCAAAUCGCAAUCACCACAUUUAAUAAAUAUCAUUGUCUAAUGAAAUCAUUCAACAUAUAUCGAAAUAACAAUUAACAAUUAAGAGUAAGACAUCAGGCAACUCAUAUGGAAAACUGAUAAUAUUUGGUAUUAUUAUAACAUUACUAUAAUAAUACUCAUAUUAUCUUCAAUAAUUAAUAAUCCAGUAAAAUUAUUUACGUUGAGAUAUUAAUAACCAUGUUAAACAUAAACUUCCAAAAUAGCAUAUUAAAAUCAGACUUAGUAAUAGUGCAAUGAUUAAAUGACUUUAACUCACAGGUUUGGCGACCUCCUAGCUCUGCUCCGGUGCCUCGGUAGGAGCGAGCCGAACAAACUGACAAUCUAGUCAUGGAAAACAAUUUAUCAAAACGAUGAAACAAUUACAAUAGAUCCUAGGUCUAGAUUCCUAGGACUGACUGUCUAAGAAUCUUGACUCAGGAACUACCGAAAAUUCGGCAGAACCUCCCCUACAACACGAACAUUACCCCUUGUAAAAACGGGUCCAGGACCUGCCAGAAGAACACUUCAAAUAUCCAACAAUUUAAACAACGGGAGUCGGGUCCCAAACUUCACUAUUUCCCGACUACGCCACACAGCACAAAACACAAGGCAAGCAAACUAACAGACAAUUAUUUAUGACUCACAAAUAUCAUCAAAUACUCAAUAUAAACCAUUAGAUAAAAAAUUUAAAAUCAAAGGAUUUCUAAAAUUAACGGGCCAAAGAAAUAUUACCGAGACGCUCGAUCGCUCGGUCGACUCGCCUCCAGCCGCCGGAGUCCGAUCGACGAUCCGAACACACCAUCGGACUCACAACGACGCGCUGAUGACGAUCCCCGCUUUCGAUUUUCCGAUCUGACACUCGAUCAUCCUGAGAGAUUUGCGGACGAUCUCGGCCAUCAAUUUGCAAACGAAACCCGAUCGUAACAAAACCGGUGCCAAUGCGAAGCUUGAGAUGAGGAGAGUCGGGAUACGUCCUCCGAUCUUCCAUAGCUCGCCGGAGCUCGCCGGAAAAAUCCAAAAACUUCGGCUGCCUCCAUUUUCUCUCUCCAUCGGAUCUUCCGUUUCCGGCCACCACUGUCGACGCCGCCGCCGCCAAAACAAAGCCUAGGCCGAGAGGAGUCGAUCGGCACCAAGAUCAGCGACCACCGACGUCGGAAACGCCCGCACGGCGGCAAGGAAGCUUUGGCCAUCUUCCUCCUCGCGCGAGAGCUGCUGCAGUCGCUCGCUGGUGCCGCUGCCGCUGCCGCCGCUGACGCCUGCAGCUUCGCCGGCCAGCCCUGCGCCCCAGACAGACGGCCCCGACGCCGCAGCUCCUUCCUCCGCGCGCUCCUCGCUCUCCCCCGACAUCUCUCUUCCUNNNNNNNNNNNNNNNNNNNNNNNNNNNNNNNNNNNNNNNNNNNNNNNNNNNNNNNNNNNNNNNNNNNNNNNNNNNNNNNNNNNNNNNNNNNNNNNNNNNNNNNNNNNNNNNNNNNNNNNNNNNNNNNNNNNNNNNNNNNNNNNNNNNNNNNNNNNNNNNNNNNNNNNNNNNNNNNNNNNNNNNNNNNNNNNNNNNNNNNNNNNNNNNNNNNNNNNNNNNNNNNNNNNNNNNNNNNNNNNNNNNNNNNNNNNNNNNNNNNNNNNNNNNNNNNNNNNNNNNNNNNNNNNNNNNNNNNNNNNNNNNNNNNNNNNNNNNNNNNNNNNAACAUUAUACUGUCAAUCCUUAUUCCAAAAUAAAUUUCUAAUUAAAUCCUACACACAAUUAAAUUAAAUUAAAUAAUCAAUUUCCAACUUAAAAUUUAAUACUACUAAUCAAUUAUAAUACAAAUUUUUCCAAAAUUCUUUUAUAAAAACAUCACUUACAAUUUCUACCAUAAUUUUCCAAUAUAUAAUUUUACUUAUAUAAAUAUGCAUUUGGGAAAAUUUUGAAUAACUAAAUAAAAAAAUAUAAUUUAUUCCUCAAAUAAUUUAUUUAAUUAACUCCUUAAAAAUCAAACUAAUUGGAUAUGGAAAAAUAAUUCAUUAUUAAACAUAUAAAAAUUCGGGGUAUUACAACUAUACCAUAGAAAACCCACUUGUUUAACAUUGUUUGCUGUCUCUAAUCUAAACUUUUUUAUCUCCUAAUAAUCGUAUUUUUGUCACGACCCCAUCUGUGGGCCCGUGACCGGCACUAGGGAAUGGGUAGGUGUAAGGCCACCGAAUCCCGUAGUAAGCCUGACACUCACUAACUCAAUUAAAUCUCAUCUCAUUUUACUGAUGCCAUAAUUUAUCUUAAAUGUUAAAUCUUACAUAAUUAAUUCAGUCUGCUAGAAGAAUUAGGCGAGACCCGAAACUACAAAGAAUUACAACAGAUAAGUCUAUUAAUUCUACUGUGCAGAAUCUAAGAUUUUACAAGUUAACAUACCAAACAAAUUACAUCACACGAUGAUGAAGGAGUCGGGUUACUAGAUAAGAGUCGCGGGAAGACUAACAGUCACAGAUCUGAAAAACAGUAAAAUUGAGACUGUCAGUCUUGAGAGUGAGCUAAAAUCAUAUAUCUAAAAACAAUUGCACUCCUUUUCUUGCUUCUUGCAUUGGGAAAGUUGAAGAGAGGAUAAAGUUAUUACUGCUACUCCUACUAUAAAUAUAAUCAAAAUAAGAGGUACUUCUAACAAUGAAGCAUAAAAGCAAGAAAGACCCAUGUGUUUACCUUGUACUAUAUGUACAUACAUAUGCCUAUUACCCUCCUUUUAAUUUGUGCAAUUUAAUUUUGACAUUCUUUUUUUUAUGGAAUAAGGUUUUACUUUUUGCAUACUUUGAUUUAUGAAUUAGAUUAGAAUAAUUUUAAUUAAAAAUGGAAUCUCCUUCAAAAAUAUGAUGAUUCUAAUGUAUCUUUAAGUGCGUCAUCCUACAAUAAUAAUAAUAACUUUGAAUGCAACUUAUUUUAGUCACACGUGUGGUUCCACAAGUUUCUCCUAAAAGGUGCAGUGGUGACAAACACCAUUAAGAGUUUGGACCAUUUUGAUGCAAAGGGUCUAUUCUUUGAUUAGGCAUUAAAAUUUAAAGUAUAGGUGAGAAUAGUUUAUAGUUGAGCAACUUUGCUCUAUAUGGCCUUUUUUUUUCUUCCAAGAUUUUGCAAUCUUUUGUGUCACAUGCCAUGUCAAAAUUAGUUAGAUAAAGGGAAUUUUCACAUAAAGAUAUAUAUAUCAAGCUUAAUAUAGCUGUCAUCAAAUUUUGACUUUCAUAGAAUUGUAUUUCACUUUUUCUUUCUUUUAGUGUUGAUUUAUAGUUUUAAAGUUGAAUUGCUACCUUUUCUUACACAAUCUUCUUACUCAAAUAUCAUUAUUUUAGAUUACCAAUCCCAAAUUGUAUUAUUAUGUUGUAACUUUAGAAAAUCAAUGUGUACUUUGUAUGAGAGAGUAUUUAAAUGUGUUUAGUUAUAGAAUGCAAGCACACAAUGUGAUUUUCUUAAAUUAAAUUCAUCCUUACUAUUUUAAGGUAAUCAAUGAUUCAUAAGAAAACUCUAACUACUGUUUUGCAGUCUGGCAGCUUUCCACUAUUGUUUCUGUUAAGCAUGUCUGUUGGUCAUCCUGAACCUUUACCACUUUCAUCUUCUCUUGUAUUAGAUAAUGCUGCUGAGUCAGGCGUUCUACAUACCAUUUCCUAGUUAAUUGAUCAAAUAAAUACAACAUUAGUGCUUGAACAAGUACAUAAUUGAAAUGCAUGAUUAAGCAAUAUGAAUUAAUGACAAAUCUGAGUUACGUUUGAUGUCAUUGGAUGUGCAGCUGGGGAAGAAUGCAGUAAAGGGCUGUGACCACGAUUUCUAUUACUGUGAGCAUAAUUUCGAGGAUGAUCACUAUUUCCAAGUGGAUCAACAUUCUUCCCGAGAUCUCUUAUCCUGCUAAGCUCUGGCACUAUAACAGUUAGAAGAUUAGGCCUAUCCUUCUUUCUUAGUUCAGCACACUUCAAUGCCAACUUAGCAAAGUUUAACGCCUCUUCAACUGGCCAGUCUACCACUGAGGGGUCGAGCAUCUUUUCAAAUGUUCCUCUUUCAAUAGCCUUCCCCACAUGGUGAGCAAGGCCCAUUGGAGGCUUGGCAGUGAUAAUUUGAAGCAACAAGAUCCCUAGUGAGUAUAUAUCUGAUCGCGUAGUUAGCAUCCCAGUUUGCUGAUACUCAGGAUCUAUGUAACAAAAUGUACCUGCAGCUGAAGUCAUGUGAUAUUGUGUAACAGAAUCAGCUACAGAUGGCGGGACUAACCGUGCUAACCCAACAUCACUGAUCUUGCUCACAUAGUUACGGUCUAAGAGGAUGUUGGCUGGCUUGAGAUCGCGGUGGACUAGAGGCUCAGGCUUUGCUUGGUGCAGGAAUAGAAGCGCAGUUGAGAUCUCUGCUGCAAUCUUAAAUCUUCUCCUCCAUGAAAUUGGAGGUGUGUUGUCUCUUUGAAGUAACCUAUCUUCCAAGCUACCAUUGUCCAUGUAUUCAUAAACCAAGCACCCAUACUCUGGACAGGCACCAAGAAGAAGCACCAUGUGUGGAUGUCUAAUGCAGCUCAGAACCUCAACCUAAAGGUUUCCAUAUUUUAUAGAACGUCACAACAGUUGAUGCUAAUUAUGCAAGAAAUAAUCUUUAGAGAAAAUAUUUAAAAUGAGGAGCCUUACCUCUUGUUGGAAUUGCUUCUUCCCUUGAGCAGCAUCAGGUCUUAAAACUUUGAUAGCAACUGCUGUAUGGUCAAGUGUGCCUUUAUACACAGGUCCAUAUCCACCUUCACCAAUUUUAUUUGAUUGUGAGAAUUUUUCUGUAGCGUCUUCUAUUUCCUCAAUUGUGUAUUUUCUGUAUCGAACAUCAUUAUGUGCCAAAGCAGUCAAUGCACGAUUUUUCUCUUCUGCCUCUCGCUUAGCUUUUAACUCUGCGUAUUUUCUUUUCUGUGCUUCCAUUUUUGCUAGCCUCUGUGCUUUCUCAGCUGCUUCUAUAGCAGCUUUGCACUUGGCCUUUUCCAUUUCUGCAAUUGCAAGAGCUGCCUCUUCAGCAUGCCUAGCUUCCUCGAAUCUACGAGCCUCCUCCAUUUUCCAUUGAUGUAGCUCAUUAGCCUGGAAGCAUAACAUUCAGAAUCAAAGCUUUUGAUUAUUUGUAAGAAAUCAGAAAUAAAAUCUUUGAUACAUGUAGGCUUGGUAUAAGAUUGUACCUUCUUUUUUGCUGUGAGUGCUUCUCUGCAAGCUGUGCUAUACAUGUCUAUGGUCUGCUUAAGUUCAACCCUUAGUCUUCUCAUCUCGGCUUCAAUGUCUCGCUGCAUUUCAUAGUCCAUCAAUUUAUGGUUAUAACUAUCCGUUCUGCAACAACUAAAUGGCAUGUAGUAUUUAGUAUCAAUUUUCGCUUACUGCAGCUUGUGAGGCAGCCAGAUCCUUGGGCGACCCGAGAGAAAAGUCUGGAUUCUGGGAUGAAAUGUCUAUGGAUCCUAGCGCAAAUGGAGAUGAGAAAUCAUGAUCCUCAUAUGUAGAAACUCGGCUAGUUGAGAUUCUUGGCGCUGCUCCUCCUGGGAAAGAAAUGUCAAUGCUAUCCAUUGAAAGAUUGGACGGAGUUCUGGUUCUGUCGCGAAUUAAUUGCCCUCUCAUGGGAUCAUUGCUUCUUUCAUAAGGAAAUCUUUCUGAUCCUUGAUUUUUAUAAUAUCCUCUCACAGAAUGUCCUCUAAUUAAAAUUGUAAACAUUAAAGAUCAUGAUCCAAAUAAUUAAUAUUCUUAUAUCAGUUUUACAUGAUAGAUCAAGCUUUUCUUAAUUACCUGAUUCCAUCAUCAUAAUAAUCAGAAUGAUCAUGUGGGGUUGGACCUGGAAGAGCUAGCAUAUUAGGUACCUUUGGUGGAAUGGGAGGAUUAUUAGCAGGUCGUUGCGCUGUUCGCACAGACGCUAUCUUUCCUUUUGAAAUUACAUAAACAGAACAGAAAUCUGGUGUAGACUUUAUUAAGCUACUCGGUACAUCUUGGUUCUUGAAUUUCCUGUACAAUCAUAAAACAUCGUAUGUCAUUAUCAGAUUCAUACCUUUUCAACCUCCUAUAAUCCAAGAACAUGAUUUUUCUUUUUCACAAACCUGGUAAAAGCGUUUCUUGUUGAAGCACCAACAACAAUACUCCCGAGAAAGUUUUUGCUGAUAUAAUCUAGAAGUGCUCGUGCAACAUCAUUAUCCUCUAGUAUAAUUUCCUUUAACUGUACCUGAAAUUAGCAAUGAACUCUUUCAUGUCAUUCGCACUGGUUUCUAUCAAAUAUAUUUGACAAUAUAAUGGAUAGAAGAUAUAAAACUACGAACCCCUUUACGAGCACAAUAUCCACGAAAAGGAACGAAAAGUUGUUGCACCUCAUCGGAAUCAACAUCAUUCCCAUUGUUAGCAUCUACAAGAACCUCAGAUCAUAAACAAAAAUCAGAAUCCAAUGCCAAUAUUCUUGACUCAUGCCCAUAAUAAAUAUGAUACUCCUACAAUGUAAUAUACUACAAGGCAUAUAUACGUAACUUAAUUUAAAAUGAGAAAUGAGGGAGGGUACCUACGAUGUUGGUGGUUCUUGUGUCUGACAUGAACAAGGAUGAUAACAGGAUUAUUGAUUAUAAGAUGAUCAAUAGCCCAUCGGACAACAUGUUGGCUAUUUUUGUCCUUGUCAAUAGCUACAGCUAUGGCAUUUACGAGUGAAAUGGACUCUUUAGAAGGAACUAAAGCCAUUUAGCAAAAGUUUACAAUGCCAAAGGUCGGGAAAAAUAAAAGGAAAAAGAAUUAUAAGUUACAAUCUGUUUGAUGCCAAUGAAUUAGCACAGCCAAUACUGCCUACCUUCCAGCCCCAAAGUAACUGGUAAUUUUUUUAUUGAAUUGAGGAAAAGGUAGAAGAAGAAGAAUGUAAGAAAGAAAACAAAAAUGAAGGUAGAAAGAAGCUAGCCUAAUUAGCUUCUCUCUCUUCUUGUCCAAGUGAGCCUCCAAACCCAUGUAAACUCCAUUAGAACAAACAAACGAAAAAAAACAAACCAACUUAACAAACUUAAGUUUUGUGCUUCUCCUCCAUUCACUAGUUUUAGCAAAUUUGACCAUGCCAUUCCUUGCUCCUUUUUUUGGUAAAUUAUUUGCCUGGCUAGAGCUGAACCUUUGAUUAAUUAAAUUACAACUUAAUCAAUUAAAGAUGUAAAAAUCCUUUUUGGUCACGAGGAUAGGAUUUUUAAUCAAAAUGAUUUUUGGCAUUUAUAAGUAGAGCAUUCCUUUUCUUGCUUCUUGCAUUGGAAAAGUAGAAGAGAGGAUAAAGUUAUUACUGCUGCUACUCCUACUAUAAAUAUAAUCAAAAUAAGAGGUACUUCCAACAAUGAAGCAUAAAAGCAAGAAAGACCCAUGUGUUCACCUUGUACUAUAUGUACACACACAUGCCAAUGACUCUCCUCUUAAUUUGUGCAAUUUAAUUUUGACAAUCUUUUCUUUCUUUUUUUUUCUGGAAUAAGGUUUUAUUUUUUACAUACUUUGAUUUAUGAAUUAGAUUAGAAUAAUUUUAAUUAAAAAUGGAUUUUCCUUCAAAAAUAUGAUGAUUCUAAUGUAUCUUUAAGUGGGUCAUCCUACAAUAAUAAUAAUAACUUUGAAUGCAAUUUAUUUUGGUCACCCGUGUGGUUCCACAAGUUUCUCGUAAAAGAUGGACUGAAAAUCACUUCAAACCACUUAUAGAUUGCAAUACCCAAAUCUAGGUUUUAUUUUGAUUUUGGAAAAUUUUUUCUUGAAUGGACAGUCUUUGUUUUAAUGGUUACAAGCACCAUUAAGAGUUUAGACCAUUUUGAUGCAAAAGGUCUAUUUUUUUAUUAGGCAUUAAAAUUCAAAGUAUUUGUAAGAAUUGUUUAUAGUUGAGCAACUUUGCUGUAUAUGGCCUUUUUUUUCUUCCAAGAUUUUGCAAUCUUUUGUAUCACGUACCAUGACAAAUUAGUUAGAUAAAAGGAAUUUUCACAGAAAGAUGUGUAUAUCAAGCUGAAUAUAGUUNNNUUUUCGUAUACAUCUUCGUACUCAAAUAUCACUAGUUUAGAUUGCCACACCCAAAUUGUAUUAUUAUGUUGUAACUUUAUAAAAUCAAUGUGUAUUUUGUACGAGAGAGUAUAUAUAUGUGUUUAGUUAUAGAAUGCAAGCACACAGUGUAAUUUUCUUAAAUUAAAUUCAUCCUUACUAUUUUAAGGUAAUCAAUGAUUCAUAAGAAAACUCUAAACAUUAAAAACUUAAAAUUUUGGGUAUUAAAAUUAUGAGAUAAUUCUAUCAUAUGAUUAAAUUAUAAACCAUUUAUACUUUGUCAAUCUCAUUUUUAAGAUAUUAAAAUUACUUAAUGCCUAUUUAGGAACCGCGGCUCUUCAAAAUUGUUAUUUUCAUAAAUUUACUUUCAAUUUUUAUUACUAUUUUUUAUUUACUUUUAAUUACUUUCAAUUUUUUUUAUCUUAUUCCUAUUAAUAACAUUUUCUAAUUAGGAUGCUGAAUAUGAUAGAUGUAUAAAUAUGUUUUUAGUUUAGUUGUAGAAUUUAUACACAAAUAGAUAAAUAAUUAAAUAUGUGUAAAUAUAUAAUAUUAAGUAAUAUGUAUUAUUUUGUUAUUUAUUAUUGUGCAAAUACUUAGCAUAGUAAGAAUUAGUCUAUAUCACACUCAACUACAAGAAAAAUUUAAUUUCUAAGAAUAUCCUCACAUAUCAAAAAGAAUAUUAAGGUAAAGUAAAAAUUUAUGAUAAAUUUCGAAAUAAUUAGUGUAUUCUUUCACUUUUUGUUAAUGUAUGUAUUAUUCAAAAUCAUAGAGUAAGGAAUAAAAAAGAAAAAAGAAAGAACAAGCUGAUGUCAUAGUGGCAAGAUUGUCCUUAAGGUAUAUUAUUAGCGCUCGUGUAACAAAAAGGCUGCCUCAAAUUCUAGUAACUUUUAAAACCUUCUCUACUCUCAUUCAAGGAGUGUGCGCUACCCUCACUUAACAAUGAGUCCCACAGAUCCUUGCAAAUUCCAAAACAAUUGUUAGCGUUUAUAUUGAGCGACUUUGACCUACUCAGCGCUAGGUGACAAACACGUUAAUCAAAUAAUUCACGCGUGCUUUACACGCUCCACAAGUGUUGCUUGAAGGAUUAGAUUUUAUUUUUUACUUGCCACUACUGGUACUGUACGUCGGGGUCCAGAAGUCACAGCUAAUCAUAACCGUUGAUUCCUUUUGACAGUUAAGAUCUACUGCUGGAAAUAAAAGGUCAUUGAUUGUACUUUUGGGACAAAUAAUUCAGUUCUUGUCUUCUAAUAUCUAGCAGUAAAUCUAGUACUCACUCAUGGAAUUACUCAACUGCCCAUUUAUUUAUUGGGGGAGACUAACGUCAAUAGCCGGGGCAUUCAGGUAAAUUUGGUGUUUCUGAAAAGAGGGACGUGGAAAUUAUAUGAAUUUUGUGUUAUAAUAAAAUAGAUUUUAACCGUAUUUGUAAAAUUUCAGGGACAUUUUGGUCAGUACAUGUAAUUCUGUAUUUGUAGUUGGAAAAUUUUGCUGCCUUUUUUCUUAGAUAAUCAGUCACUUAAUCUAGUCGUAACGUGAGAUGAUUUUUAAAAAUAAUGUUUGAUUUUUAUUUUACCUAUCUUAUAAUAGUACUUUUAUACUUAAUUUAUAUUUUUUUCUAUAAAUUUAGAUCUUAAAUUUGAAAUUUAAUUCAUUAAUAAAAUAAUAUACUCUCUCUAGCUCUCAAUUUGACUAAAACAUUUCUUUAGCUCUUUUGCAUUAGGGGUAUCAAGAACCGGAAUGGAUAUCACAUAUGCCCUUUUCUUUGAUCCAUAGCUAACAACUCAUCGUACCAAGUGCGUCAGCCUCACUCCCUCGGGACUACAAGUAGUUUCGGUUGUUGAAUCUCAUGCAAGUUAGGCUGUGGUUGUAUUGGCAGCAAGCAAAAUGGAGGCGCUUUAGGUGUGUGUUGACCAUGCGCUCUCGCAUCAUGUAAUGUCGUAUGUACGAUAAAGGUGGUGUGGUGAUUGACAUCAAUGCUAAUGGUUAUCCCCAAGGUUCAACAAAUGAAUAAAGCUAUUAUCAUAACCGAAUAGAGAUGAUGGUCUUCCUCUGAUGUCUCUAGGUCGACUAUAAUAGAAUAGAUAGGCGAAGCAGCCAAUAACUGUCUGUUCUCGCCUAUCGAUAAUACCGGGUUGCUUCCAAGCUCAAACCAUUUGAAACUUAAUUGCUUUCAACACAGUUGUCUCUCUAGCUGUUUGAAACCUUUUGAGGUAUAUUGAACCGCUUGUUGUAUUCAAAAGCCUUAUAUUUUAUUUUCUCAUUUGGAAGACCCGCACUUAGACAUAAAAAGCGACAAAGGAUACAAUGAAAAAGGUAAAUGAAUAAGAAUUUCUCUCUUCUUUUAAUAGGGACGAUAUGCUCUAUACUAUGGAAGACAUCAUAUUCAUUUUAUUUUCUCUUCUUUCUUUCUUGUAUAUUCUUAUUCUACCCUUCGUUCCUUUUAUCUUGGGCAUCUUUAAGGUAUAUUAAAAACUAACUCGAUAUCCUCACUGAACAAGGGAGGAUUAUUCAGGGCAAGCUCAAUGUAUAAUGAGGAUGAAAUAACGGUUGGAUGGUUAGGACAUCUUAUCUUUAAUCCUAGCCUACAAGCAUAAAUCAUUGGCGCGGAAUGUAAUCCCAAAGACUCAAAUAUAGUAAAUAAAUGAGAUGGUAAGACCCUUGCAGAGUUCCCCAACAGCAUAGAGCUUAGAAAGCUCGGACCCAGGCAAGAUCCGAAAAACAUAAUAACCCGUCUCCCGCGUUCUCACUUCCUUUGAGAAAGUUUCUAAGCGUGGAAUCAUAGACCAACAGGUUCACUAGCAAGGAAUAAACUCUGUGACUUAGUUCCAGCCUUUAGUUUCAGCCUUUCCCCUAUACUUAGAGUGGGUGAUUGGAUUGCUGAAACAUUUCUUACACUGCUAUCAUAACACAUGACCACAUCUCGAAGGAUGGAGUGAAAAAGAGGCAAAAUAGGGUAAACAGGCGCAUAGGCAUAGGUCUUCCACUAUCACUUCUGAUGUGCCACUCGUCAAUUGAGAAACUUGGGGAGGCUAUCUUCAUGGUACCAAUGACUGGGGUCAGGGGGCCCAUUAUAUAAAAUAAGGUAACUUAAACAUAUGCUUUGAAGGUGGAGCCUAUUGAUAUAGAAAGAAAGGAGGCAAGACGUUUGCAACUAUGGUUCCAAUCUGUAUAGAAUAAUUUAAAUUAAUUUAUAAUUACAAUAAAAAAACUUGUCUGCUUAUAUAUUUUUGUAAUUAUUUUUUACUAAGUUUAUUUUAAUAUUAUGUUAACUAAUAAAUUAAUUUUUAGUUAAAUAAUGAUUUUAAUUCUAUCUUAAGAAAUAGCAUAUUAAUAUUAUAUUAAUUAAUAGAUUAAUUUUUUACUUAGAUAAUAAUUUUAAUCCUAAAUAAAAUAAAAUAAAUUACAUUUACUAUUAAAUUAAUUUCUAAUCUUAAAAGAUAAUAAUAAAAAAUAAUCCGAUAGGUAAGAAUAUAUGAAUAUGAACUUGAGAUUUAAUAAAAAUAUGUUUCUUUGUUAGUAAUUAUUUUCUUUAAUAUUUCUAUGUUAUAUUUAUAAAAAAUGUAUUGAUGAAAUUAAUAAAAAUUUACAAAAUCAUAAGCUUGAUAAUAAAAAGCGGAGAGAAUUUUUACAAAAGACCAUCCUCUUCAAAUUUCUCAAAACAAAGUCCCAAAAAAUAUUUUAGUAAAAUUACUUGUUACAAAUUUGGUAAAAAAGGACACAUUCAAAGUAUUGUAAGUUUUCUAAAAAAUUUCAGGAGCUCCAAAUAGAAGAAAAAAUUUUGAGCAAAAUUUCAGCUCUUCUAGUUGAAACCUUUGAAUCGUCAUUUUCUAAUGACAAGGAAGAAUUCCAAAUUGAUGAAAUUAAAACCUCAUCUGAAUAUUCCGAAUCAGAAUUGGAUGAUAUCCCAAAAAAUAUUAAUAUGUUCACUAGGCAAGAAGAAGCUCUUCUUGAAGCUGUCAAGCAUAUUAACGACACUCAAAUCUAAAAAUAAGUUUUGAAAGAAAUUUUAAAAACCGAAACCCUCAUCCCGUCUUCUAGUAAGAACACCUAUGAUCUUACUAUGAUUUUUAGAAAAAGAAAAAAGGCAAAAACAUCAUCUUUCUACUAUCCAAGAACUCUAAAAAGAAAUUAAAAGAAAAACAGCAAAAUGAUUAUAUUCUGCUCCAAAGCUUGAUUCUUAAGCAAAACAGUGAAUCUGAUUCUGAGGAAGAAAAUGAUUUUCAAAAUUUUGAGGUUUCUGAAAACGUUCCAGAAAAUUUUAUUAAUGUACUAAAAGAAAUAACCUCAAGAAAAUAUCUGAUUCAGAUAACGCUCAUUUUUUCUUAUGAUUUUCAAAUAGAAACUAUAGCUUUGUUUGAUACAGGAGCAUACCUCAACUGUAUCUAUUAUGAGUUGGUUCUUAAAAGAUAUCAUCUAGAGACAAAAGAAAGACUCACCUUUGCUAACAAUUCAAAGAUUAGAAUUGUGGGAAAAACUGAAGUUGCAAUUCUAAACAAAAACAUUGCUUUAAAAAAUAUUUUUAUUCAUACAAAGGAUUUGCAACAAACUGUUAUUUUGGGGACUCCUUUUAUCAAUUUGAUUACCCCCUUCAAAGUAACUACUGACGGUAUCAUUUUCAAAGCUAAAGAUUCAAAGUUGUUUUUCCUUUUUUAGAAAAACCCAAGAAAAGAAAUCUCAAUCUUAUAAAAGCUCACUCAAUUUAUAAUUUUGAGAUAAAUCCUUUAAUUAAAGGAAAGUAAACCCGGCUUUUCCAUCUAAAACAAGAUAUGAAUUUAAAAAGAAUCCAAAGCUAAUUGCAAAAUGAUUUUGUCCAAAAAAGAAUAUCUGAUUUACAAGAAAAAAUUAAAAGAGAAGUUUGUUCUGACCUUCCUAAUGCUUUCUGGAAAAGAAAAUAUCAUAUGAUAGAUUUACCAUAUGAAAAGUAAUUUAAUGAAAAACAUAUCUCUACCAAAGCCAAGCCUAUCCAAAUGAAUGAAACUUUAGAAAGACAUUAUAGAUUAGAAAUCAAAGACUUAAAAAAGAAAGGCUUAAUUGCUAAAUCAAGAUCCCCCUGGUCGUGUGCAGCUUUCUAUAUCAACAAAAAUAGUGAAAUAGAAAGGGGUACACCUAGAUUGUUAAUUAACUACAAACCUUUAAAUAAAGCUCUAAAGUGGAUUAGAUAUCCUAUUCCAAACAAAAAAGAUUUUCUUCAAAAGCUUCAUUCUACUUUUAUCUUUUUAAAGUUUGAUAUGAAAUCAGGAUUUUGGCAAAUCCAGAUUCAUCCUAAAGAUCAUUACAACACUGCAUUUACAGUUCCAUUUGGCCAGUAUAAAUGGAAUGUGAUGCCUUUUGGAUUAAAAAAUGCUCCUUCUGAAUUUUAAAAAAUUAUGAAUGACAUUUUUAAUCCUUAUUCAAAGUUCUGCAUUGUUUACAUCGAUGAUGUACUAAUCUUUUCAAAUUCUCUAGAACAACAUUUUAAACAUUUGGAGAUAUAUUUCUAUGUUCUUAAGAAAAAUGGUUUAGUUGUUUCCAAAUCCAAAGUAUCAUUAUUCCAAACAAAAAUUAGAUUUCUUGGGCACUACAUCUCUCAGAGAACUAUUAGCCCAAUUGAAAGAUCUCUAGCUUUUACUUCAAAAUUUCUAAAUAAAAUUUUAGAGAAAACUCAAUUGCAAAGAUUCCUUGGCAAUUUAAAUAAUGUCAUAGAUUUUUAUCCAAAUUUAAACUAUUUAGCAAAAUCCCUCCAUGAUAGGUUAAAGAAGAAUCCCCCUGCAUGGUCCGACGAGCAUACAAAGAUUGUUCAAAGCAUCAAAAAACAAGUUUCUAAAAUUCCAUGUUUACAUCUGGCUGAUCCAUCUGCAUUCAAAAUUGUUGAAACUGAUGCAUCGGAUUUAGGUUAUGGUGAAAUUCUUAAACAAAUUCACAACAAAAAAGAAUGCAUUGUCCAGUUUACUUCUGCACACUGGAAUGAUACUCAAAAGAAUUAUUCAACUAUCAAAAAAGAAAUUCUUUCAAUAGUACUAUGCAUUUCAAAGUUCCAAAGUGAUCUUUUAAAUCACACAUUUCUUUUAAGGAUUAAUUAUAAAUCUGUAAAAGAAGUGUUGCAAAAAGAAGUCCAAAAUAUAGAUUCAAAACAGAUUUUUGCCAGAUGGCAAGCUAUUUUUUUCGUGUUUGAUUUUGAAAUCGAAUACAUAAGAGGAGAUUCGAAUUCAAUACCAGAAUUUCUAACCAGAGAGUUCCUUCAAAAACAAGAGUGACAAUGCUAUGAAAAACGAGAGCAAAAGAUAAACAAGAAAAGUCAACAGCAAAUGCAAAAGUUGUUUAAAGCCCUAAAUAUGAGAUUUUUCCCUCCUCUUCAAAGCCUAUCAGAACCUGGACUGAGAUCUUUUAGGAAGAAAUAGACAAAAGCAAAGAAGACCCGGCCCAAACAUAAUUCCAAAUACAGGAGUGGCUUGCACAUCAAACUCCCGAGUUUUUAAAGAUGGUCGAACAAUAUUCAAAGAUAAAACCUAUGGCUAAAGUUUAGCCAAAGAUUUCUCCAAAGUUAUCUUCUUCUUCUUCAAAUAAAGGUAAAGGUAUACUCUCUAUCCCUGUUUCAAAACCAGAGAUAGUAAUUUUUUCCCACAACCUAUCUCACAACUCUCAAAGCAUUUCAAAGCCAAAUUCACAAGCAAUAGUUUUGUCUCAAACAAAACUUUUUAAAACUAAUGAAUACAUAGAAAAAUAAAAUUUUCAAAGCAUUUUAACUGUCGAUGAAGGAUUCUGUACAGAAAGCCCUUCAAAAUACGUUUCAAAAGUUUUCUCUCCUGGAUGGUAUUUUAAACCCUGGAAUAAAAUAAAACCUCAGGCUUAUUACCAGUUUAUCUUAGAGGUGACUGGUUCUGCAAAAUUCAAACACUUCGAAAAGCACAAAUACCACAAAGACCCAGCUUAUUCCACAUGUACCAUUCAAAGAAUCCUUCACCCUUCUGAUUGGGGAAUGGAUUUAUACUCGUCAAGAUCUUUCCCAACCUCCCUUCAAAACACCUACCCCUCAAGCCUCAAUAUAACCUUUAACUACUGGGAUUACCAGCAAGCCUGGUUUAAUACCUUUCUCUUACAAAAUGAAGGACAGAGGCAUUCUUGGCUUUUCUAUUUCGACACAAGAAUAAUUCAAACUUCCAAAAUCCCAUAUUGGUUUAAACAAUGAUAUAAUUAUUAUGGUAACAUUCUAGAAACUAUAAUACUAGAGGUGCUCCCUUUGUUUAAUCUAUUCAAAGCUCACUACAAACUGAACAAAAUAGAAAGAUAAUUUCCCCCCUUGCUUUUAUUUUGUUCAAACUUCUUCCUCCCGUGGGUAUAUGUAUGGUAUUUCCAUUUGAACCAAGUAGCAGAUGGAGAAAUCAUUCUUACCCAAAGGUUCAAAGUUAAAUGGUGGGACAAAUUCAACCACCAAGAAAAAUAAUCUUCAAAGAUGGUACAAAGUUUUCUUACAAAGAAUAGCUUCUUGCCAGCACCCAAAGAACAAACUACUUUCCUGGCACCGAAGUAUUUUAUUCUUCCAAAACUAAUGGCGGCUCAAACAGAAGAAGAUUUCCUACAACUGAUCAAACAGUUGUCAGAAACUACCUCUUCUAAAGGAAAAUCUAAAGCUUCGUCCUCCUCUUCAAGCACCAGCUCAGCAGCCAUUGACUUAGAUGGUGACUCGAAUGAAGAUGACUGUUUUGGGAUAUUUAAGCUCAUCAAAUGAUAUCAUUGUAAAGCCCUUGGGUUGAAAACCAUAAAUGGCAGCCCAUGAUAAUUUUUUGUAAUGGGCCAAAAACCCACUUAAAAAAAAAGUCUUUUCAAAAGAGAAAAAAGACAAAAGACUUUGCACCAUUAUUUUUUUAAGAAAAUGACGAAAACUCCACUAUAAUGAAGCAUGACAGACAAUUUCUACUGCUUUUCAGAAGAGUUAUGGAGCCCCUCACUCCAUUACCAAAAGCAUCUAAAGAAAGAAUUAUUGAGGCUAAAGACUGAAGACCUUUAUAAAUAGAGGAGUUAUCAAAGAAGAAGGCUGACUGAAAAAUCAUAAGAAACUCUUGUAUUCUUCAAGUUCUACCAUUAGAAAUAUAGUGAGAAGAGAGUGAGAGUAAAAAAAGAGAGAGAGAACCCUUCCUCUUGUAUUCUACUACUCUUAUAAGUUAUAUUUCUUUGUUUAAAGCUUUCAUUUUAAAGCUUUCAUUUCAAAGUUUGUAUAUUUGUUUAUUAAUAAGAAUUUGUUAUUUUCUUUCUACAUUGUUGUGCAUAUUUUAUAACAAGUGUAUGCUCUGUGCUUGCCUCGUUUGAGGAUCAUGCACAUCAGAAACUUGUUAAUAAAAAACUUGUUAAGUCUAUUCUUAAAGUAAUAAGUGUACGCUCUGUGCUUGCCUCGUCUGAGUAUUCUGCACAUCAAAAACUUAUUAUUUUGUCUCCCCUUGGUAUCAAAGCCUAUAGGAUUCCUGGGAAGAGAAGGUUGCUUGCAUAAAAGAGAUUUUAGAAUCAUUUUAAACUGUAUCAUAUCUUUGUUGAACAAACUUGUUCAUUUAUGCACAGUAGUAAGGCCCAUUUUUGAUUUAAGGGCAGUAAAACUGGUGGCUUGGUUCAUGUUUGUUUAGAAAGUUACUUUGAUUUAUUUUAAAAUGAAUUUAGAACCACCUUUUCUGUAGAUCAUCUUCUUUUUCAAACUCUUCUACCUCUGAGUCUUCAAGAUCUAAAGGUUUAGUAAAUAGUGAGGAAAUCACUAUUGAAGAUUUUACAAAGCAUAUUGAUGAUUGGAAAAAUACCCAAGAUUCAAAACAAGCAAAUCUAUGAGUUUUUAAAGUUUCCUAUCUUCAAAACAAAUUUUACUAUCAAAACUGAAGAAAGAGAUAUCCAAAUUUCAAAGCUUUUUGAAGAAAUCUAUCUUCUAAAUCCAAAAACCCUCUAAAAACAUAAAGAAAAAGAUUAUAAAUACAUUCACAUAGGCCUUGUCCAGGUAGGAAUAAAACCCCUUAUCAGAGAAGGUUUAGAUACUUCCAUCUUAGUAGUCCUUAGAGAUGCUAGGUUUACGAAUUUUUAUGAUUCUUUAUUAGGUAUUGUCGAGUCAAGCCUUAACAAAGAACCUAUUAGUGUUUUUCAAAUAUUACAAUUUCUUUAAAUGAUAAAAAUAUUUUAAAGAGUAUUGUUCUCUAAAUAAAAACUCAUAAUUACAAAAUGCUUGAAGAGUCUAUCCCGAUAGCUUUGAUUUUUAAAAUACAUUACAAAGCCAUGAUUUCUGCUUUUGGUUCGAAACACAAACUUCACUCGCUAAAAGGAGAAACCUUAUUCCUCCAAACAGACCUUUCUAUAGCCAACACAACAAUUCCAAAAACUAUUCAAUGGAAAGAUAUCACUCUUCUAGAAGAAGGGAUCCUUGAAGGAGCAACCCAACUUGAAUCAUCAAAGCAAACAUAACCAAACACCAAUCUCAGAAACAUAACCCAAUUUUUAGAUGGGAAAGUAAGACUCACGUUUAACAGAAAAUCAACUUCUUCUAGAUUUUCUGAUGACAAUUCUUUAACUUCGACCAUAGAUAUUGGAAGGGUAUAAAAUAUAACUUCUGUUAUCUAUGCCCCUUACAAAGAACCAACUUCAUCAUAAACAUUACCGAGAUUUUCAACAUCAGAUUUACCGAGAUUUUCAACAUCAGAUUUACUAAGCUCAAACACCACAUUACAAAAUAUUGAUUACCAAAGCAAUGUCUCUAGACCUGUUUACAAUAAACCAAAAAAAGAUGAUGAUAUAGAGACCAUCUCUACCCCCUCUUCACCAUCACUAUCGGCAAUAACCCAAAAUCUAGAAGUAGAAAUCAACAUGAUUUAAAAAGAUUUUCAAAUCAAUAAAAAGCUUUUACAUGAAGACUUCUAUUCAAAGAAAAACCAUUCUAAAAAACUUUAGUUUUUUAAGAAUUUUCUACAAGAAAAAGAUAGUAUCCGAGAAAGAUACUAUGAAUUUUGCAUGCAAAACAAGAUCCAAAUCACAUUUUUUGAUUGGUUUCAGAUUUAUUGCAAAGAAAAUAGUAUCCCUUAUCCUUUCAAAGAUAAACUCAUUAGUCCAGUUACCAUUAGGAACAAAGCCCCAUAAUGGAAGGUCGGAGAAAACCAAACCAUCCAGUCUGAACAUCCUCAUUUUAGGAAGAUAACUAUUCCUUAUGGAGAAAAUGAAAUCGAAGCCGCACUUUACAAAUUAGUAGGAAAAGAGUUUGAGAAAAAUGUUAAGAAUAUUGUUCAACAGAAUAACUUCUCAAAUACCUAUCUUAACACAAUAGGAAAAUAGCUAGUUAGGAUAGAAAGCCAAAUUCAGAAACCUACUACAGUCUUAACCUCUGUAAUCCCCAAAACUAGUCAUCCAAGAGAUGUAAGUCAAAUAGAAAAACUCAAAAACCCCAUCUUCAAACCCUACCAGAUUUCAAAGCCUAGUCAAGACCAAUUCCAUAAGCGAACUGAGUUUGCUAGAGUAGUUAGAGAACAACUUAGAAAAUUAACCACUUCCGAGUCUUCCAAAAACCUAAUACCAGAUACUCCUCAAAGCAGUAGAAAUAUCAGUGCUGUAGAUCAAGCCCAAAGCAAUGAAUCUAAUGAUUCAAACCUCGAAAAUGUCAUAANNNAAUUAGUAGAUUAGGAUGGCAAGCCCCUAGAUUAACUUGGCAUACUCCUAGGAAUACUGCCCCUGAUUUAAGUAUAGAAAACAAAAAUAAUAUCCUUACCCAAUAUAGAUUCAAUGCCUCCUCCGUCUAUGAAUGGAAUAUAGAUGGAAUGUCUGAGUACAAUAUUCUUGGUCUCUUAUAACAGAUGACCAUGGCAGCUAAUGCCUACAAAACCUAAAGCGGUAUCUCUGGUAGAGCUAUAGCUGAGCUCCUUAUAGCCGGUUUUUCAGGCCAGCUUAAAGGAUGGUGGGAUUACCAUCUUACCCAAACACAACAGCUGCAAAUCCUAGGUGUUAUCCAAACCACAAUAGAAGGAACACCCAUCUUAGAUGAGCUAGGAAAUCCUAUUGAGGAUGCUGUGUCAACCUUAGUUCUUACGAUUUCCCUCCAUUUUAUAUGAGACCCAUCUCAUCUCAAAAAUAAGAAUGCUGAACUUCUCAGCAAUCCGACCUGCAAAAAACUAAGCAAUUUCCAAGCCUACAAAGACACUUUUCUUACCAGAGUAAUGCUUAAAGAAUACUCAAACCAACCUUUCUGGAAAGAAAAAUUCUUAGCUGGUUUACCUAAAAUACUAGGUGAAAGCGUUAGGAAUACUAUCAAAGAAGCUCAUAAUGGCCAAAUUCCUUAUGAUCUCUAUACUUAUGGCGAAUUAGUUAGCCUUACUCAGAAAGAAGGACUAAAAAUUUGCCAUGACCUUAAACUUCAAAGACAGCUCAAAUGGGAAAUGAAGAAAACUAGACAAGAACUAUGUAGCUUUUGUAACCAGUUUGAGUAUAAUCCCAUAGAACCUUCCUCCGCCUGCAAAGAAAAAUGCAAAGAAGAUUUUUCUAAACCUUAUAUGAAAAAAUAUUUUCACAAAACUAGGAAGGUGCCAGAAAGCAGAAAGAAUUUUUACAAAAGACCAUCCUCUUCAAAUUUCUCAAAACAAAGUCCCAAAAAAGAUUUUAGCAAAAUUAUUGUUACAAAUGUGGCAAAAAGGGACACGCUUCAAAUUAUAUAUAUAUAUAUAUAUAUAUAUAUAUAUAUAUAUAUAUAUAUAUAUAUAUAUAUAUAUAUAUAUAUAUAUAUAUAUAUAUAUAGUUUAAAGUCUCAAUUUAUCUCCUAAAUUUGGAGUCAACAACAAUAUCCAGUGAUCAUUUCAUUUUAAAUAGAGAAUUUAAUUCAUAAAAGAACUAAAUUUAAUUACUAAAUUUUACACUAAAUGUCAAGCUAUAUAAAAAAAAUUCUUUACUUAUAAUACAAUUAUUUAAGUUAACGGCAAUCAAAUUCUAAUAUCUAAUAUAAAUAAUUGAGUAAUUUGUUGGAGAAUUUCUUAAUUAAAUAAAAUUGCUAAAAUUAUAUAAGAUUAUAUUUUAAAAAAUGAGAGUAAAAAAUUUUAUUUUAGUAAUAUUUAAUUUUAAUUUCUAAUAAAAAUAAUUUAAUUACUAUUUCAGUUUCAGAUUUAAUUCAAAUUUUUAAAAAUUAUCUAGUGAAGAUACUAUGUAUGACUUAUUAUUCUUAAAAUUACUUAAUCCAUUAUGAUAAAACUAAUUUUAAAUAUUUUUGUUAUUAUCUUAAUAUUUAUUAUUUAUAAAAUUUUCCAGUUCUAUUAAAUUUUUAUAAAUAUGAUAAAUUACCACAAUUCAUAAUUCAUAUAUAUAUUAAUCUUAGUUGGUAAUUAUUAAUUCUAUUAAACACUAAAAAAUUAAAUAAUUUUUAUCACGAUCUAAUUUGUUGGCCUGUGACCAACGCUAGGGAAUGAGCAGGCUUAAGGCUACCGAAACCCAUAACAAGUGUGAUUAGCCAAAAAUCUAAAUAAACACAUACCUAAUUAUAUACUCUUAAAACAAAUCAACAUUUCACUCACAAAUCUACACAUGGUUAAGUUGAUCCUCUAGCUAGAUUUCUAGCAAUGUCCCACAAUUUUAACAGAUCAAAUUAAAAUAUAAAUUACUAAGUACACUGCUGCGGAGAGUCUAGAAUUUCAAGUAAUUUAAAAGUACUAAAGUAAGAUUUAAUUGCAAUAAACUCGAAGGAAGAAGGGAAGUCGAGCUGCAAAAGAUGUCGGUAGAGAACCUAGUUGUCACCUGAAAAAUUUAAAAUUGAAAUUGUCAGUCUCGGAAAUGAGUUAAAAACAUAUAUCUGUAGUAAAACAACUAUAAAUAUCCAUGUGGAAUGGUUGAUAAAAUAAUGUGGUACAUCACAAACUAAUAAGUGCCAUAGCAUAAUUUUAAAUAAUUGAUUUUUUUUUACUCAUAAGGGACGAGUAUUUCAGCAGAACUCUAAUCCUAAUACUAGUAGCCGUUCGGCUCUUUUAUUCCAAUAUGACUGACACCUAGAGAGGGAAGCUUAACUAUGGUCCUUAAAUCCAGCUUGGUCAAUUGAUUCCCUAUAAUACCCAUAAUUUUUCUUUAAUAAAGAUAAUAAUAAUAAUAAUAAUUAAUAAAUGAGUUUUUAUUUAAAUUAAUUUUAACUUUAUUUUUAUUUGGUUUAAUUGGAAUGAUUUAAAUGAAAUUUUUAAUUUUAAUGCUAGACAAAUAAAGGAGCUAUUUUCUAUAUCCUAUUAGUUUGAAUUUUUAAGAGAUUAAUUAAGUAAAUUUUUUGAGAAAUAAAUUAUAUUUUUGGUACUCANNNUAUUGAAAUGUUUGACAAAUUGAUUAAUUAAAUUAAAAAUUUAUUUUGGAAUAAGGAUUAAAAAUAUAAUUUUAUUAAUAUGGGAUUUUAAUGAAAAUUGGUAUGUUUGGUAUUUUUAUAAUUAAAUAUGUCGGCAAGGGCUUUUUUAUAAUUUUAGAUUCAAAAGCAAGGGUAAAUAUGUAAUUAUGUAUUUUUAAUAAUUCUAAUUUGGCCCAAAUUAAAUAGUUAGGGGCUUAAUUAAAAGGCCAAAGAAAAGUUUAGGGGUUAAUAGAAAAUUCUAGAGGGUGAAAUUGUUAUAAUUAAAAAAGUUGAGGGACCAAAAGGUAAGAAAGAAAAUUUCAGGGACCAAAACUCGAUAUGAAGAAGAAGAAAAGAGAAAAGAAUCGGGGAGAGAGAGAGGGAGACAGGAGGAAGAAUGCGGGGCUGGCCGGCGGAGCGGCUUGCGCUGGCGAGCGUAGUGGCAACACCGGCGGUAGCGAGUGGCGGCGCCAGGCGGCGGCUUCCAGACGCUUUUCCAGCCGUUUCCAGUAGCCUUAUCGGCUGAUUCUGGUGGCGAUCGACUCCCCUAGGCGAGAGCUUUCUUUUGGCGGCAGCGGCGACGCCAAUGGUGGCCGGAGACGGAAGUUCGCGGUGGAGAGAGAAAGUAGGGCAGCCGGCAUUUUCAGGCUUUUCCGGCGAGCUUCGGCGAGCUAUGGAUGAUCGGAGGACGUAUCCGGACUCCCCUUAACUCAAGCUUCGCAAUGGCACCGGUUUCAUGGUGAUCGGACUCCGUUUGCAAAUCGACGGCCGAGAUUGUUCGCAAAUCUCUUCGGAUGAUCGGGGAUCGGAUCAAAAAAUCGAAAGCGGGGAUCGUCAUCAGUGCGUCCUUUCGAGUCCGAUGAUGUGUUCGGAUCGUCGAUCGGACUCCGACAACUGGAGGUGAGUCGACCGAGCAAUCAAGCGUCUCGAUAAUUUUUCUCUAGCCCGUUGAUUUUAGAAUUCUUUGGUAUAUUAUAUGUUUAUUGAAUUGUGCUGAGUAUCAGAAAAUAUUGUGAGUCAAAAUAUUUGUUUGUCGGACUGCCUGCUAUACUCGCAAUUUGUGUUGUGUGGCGGAGUCGAGAAAAUAGUGAAGUCUUGGGGACCCGACUCCCGUUGUAUAAAUUGUUGAAUAUUUGAAGUGUCCCAUUUUACCAGGGGUAAAUGUUCGUGUUGUAGGGGAGGUUCUGCCGAAUUUUUGGUAGAAUUUACCCGAGUCGAGAUUCUUAAACAUUCAAUCCGAGGAAUCUAGACUUAGGGUUAAUGGUCAAUUGUUUCAGCGUUAUUGAUAUAUUAUUUUCCAUGAUUAGAUAAUCCGUCUGUUCGGCUCGCUCCAACCGAGGCACCGAAGCAGAGCUAGGAGGUCGCCAAAGCUGUAAGUUAAAGUCAUAUAUCAGUUAUGCUCGUAUCAUGCAUAAAUUUUUGAAUAGCUGUUGUGAUUAUUUUAUUGCAAGUUUAAUUAUUUAUUUAAUUAUUAUUCAUAUGUAUUAUGCUUUUUAAUUACUAUUCAUGUAUAUUCUUCCUUUAUUAUUGCAUGAUGACACGGGAUGGGACAACAAUAGAACAUAUUAGUUUGAUGAGUGUACCGAUGUAAAUCCGAGAGUGAUGGAAAAAGGGUAAAUGGGUAAAUUUUAAAAGGAAAGUUUAGAACUUGCCCUAGUCGAGCAUCGCUCCCUAGGCUUAGUAGAGUGUGUUUUCCGGAGUAAAGGUCCCUGGUCGAGCAUUGCUCUCUGGGCGCCGGCUUAUUUGGAAACCUAAGUGACCAGACUAGAGGUUAGGUCCAUGGUCGAGCUUCGCUCUCUAGGCGCCAGUCUUAUUAGAGUAAGAGAGCCGAAAGGCUAAGACUGAUAUUGAUAAGUAAGUGACCAGACUGGAGGUAAGGUCUCGGAUCGAGCUUCGCUCUCUAGCGCCAGUUCUGUUGGAAUGAUAGAGUCGAGAUGUUAAAGUUGAGGUUAGUCGAGAUGUCAGUGUUGAGAUUGAUCGAGAUGUUAGUGUUGGGAUUAGGGUUCUACUGAAGUACUCUGUCCCGCUGUGUGUGAAAAUUAUUUUAUUUAAGCAUGGCAUGACACGUAUAUUUUUGCAUGACUUAAUAUUUAUUUCAAAUUAAAUAAAUGUAUUAUUGAAGUAUAUGCAACUGUAUUUGGAUAUAUGAUUUUAACUCACUCUCGAGACUCACAGUCUCAAUUUUACUGUUUCUCAUAUCUGUGACUGUUAGUCUUUCCGUGACUCUUAUCUAGUAAUCUGACUCCUUCAUCAUUGGGUGGUGUAUUUAAUUUGGUAUGUUAAUUUAUAAAAUCUUAGAUUCUCCGUAGUAGAAAUAGUAGAUGUAUCAGUUGUAAUUUUCUGUAGUUUCGGGUCUCGCCUAAUUCUUCUAGCAGACCAAAUUAAUUAUGUAAGAUUUAACAGUUAAGAUAAAUUGGUGGCAUCAGAAAAAUGAGAUGAGAUUUAAUUGAGUUAGUGUCAGGCUUACUACUGGAUUCGGUGGUUUUACGCCUACCCAUUUCCUAGUGCCGGUCACGCGCCCACAUAUGGGGUCGUGACAUUCCCAAUAAAGACGGUUCCCAAAGAGUAACGCUCAACCAGGGACCUUUCCUCCGACAAUCAAAUUCUCAUAGCCCAUAGAAUUGUACUCGACCAGGGCAAAUUCUAAAAAUAUUUUUUUAUUAUAUGUCUCUGAUUAAUACGAUCCGCACUCGGUCCUGAUGCUACCCGUUAGGUGGCAUGUUCUACUACCGCCUCAUCCCGAGUCAAUAUGAAAUCAUAAUAUCAAUAUUGUAAAAAAUGAUUUAUGAAUAGCAAGCAACUUAACUAUUAAUCAAUAACGUAUUAAAUAAUAUUGAACAUCACGUAAUUGUUAUCAUAAAUUUAUUUAUUUAGAUAAAUAGUAAAUAGAUAAUUAAUUUCAUAAAGUGAUUAUUUAGAUGAAUAAUAAAUAAUUAAUCUAAGAUUUAUAAAGUAAUUAAUUGGAUAAAUAAUAAAUAAAUAGUUUAAAUCUAUAAAUUAAUUAAUUACAUCUAAAUAAGAAUUUCCAGUAAUAUUCACUAUGAUAAAUAAAUAUAUACAUAUAUAUAAAUACGAUAAUAAUAUAAAUAAUAAUCGAAAUUGCUAUAUAAAAAUUCGGCAGAGUACAUGUAUAUAGGAUAUAUGACUUUAACUCACAGUUCUACCGCGCUCUGCAGUCUACUCCUACGUCUCAGGUGGAGCUGGCUGGAUGGAUUAAUUUUUUCUAUGCCUAGACUACUAGAUUAGACUGUCUAAGAAAUUUUGACUCGAAAAUUCUACCAAAAAUUUGUUAGAACCUCCCCUAAUUAUAGAUAUUUACUCCCAUAUAACGGGUUCAGAACUUGCUAGAAACACUUCAAAUAUUCAACAUUUAUUUAACGGGAUUCGAGCCAUCAAAACUGUAUUAUUUUCCCUACUCCACAACACAACUGAAAUCAUAAUUCAAAUAAAAUAACAGCGAAAAAAAAAUAUUAUUUCCAAUAUAAUCACGGAAUACUCAUUUAAUUCAAUUAUUCAUAGCUUAAAUUUACAUAACAUAAUAUUAACUCAUUCUGAAAUUAAUCUAUAGUAAUUCUAAAAUCAAGCUCCUAAUUAAUUAAAUAGUUUAAUUAAUUCAUUAUAACUAACAAAUAAAUACACUGAACAUUUUCUAAUAACUUCAAAAUAAUUUUUAAAGUUUAAAUAAAAUUACACCCAGUCAAAAUCCGAAAUUCCGCGUGUUCAAAAAACACUGCAGUCCGAAAGCCGGUACCACCAAUAGUGUCGGAUUUCGAAUCUGAAAGCGUUUGGGCGAAGCUUGAGUUGCGAGGAGUCCAAAUAUGCAAACAGCUUCGCUCGAAACUCGCCGGAAGUCACCCACAAUGGCCGGUGGAGGAAAAUCGACAAGGGAGAGCUGCCUUGAAGUUUUCGGUUCGUUUCUGGCAUCAGGUCAGUGAAAGGACGCGUGGCAAGAGGCUGCUUCAGCAGCGGCAGCAGGGGAGGAAACUUCCUCCUUGCGAGCAGCUCCUCCUCGAUGGCUGGAGGCUGCACGGAUGACGGCGACGGGCUGGCGACGACGAGGGAGCCCACGGUAGGCAAGGAACGGAAGGCGGCAAAGGGAAAAGUGACCAGAGAAAAAGGUGCAGGGGAAGAGGGAGCUGGCAUCGCCGGGAAAGAGAGAAGCAGAGGAAGAAGAUGUCGUCGGUGAAGGGGAAGGGAGAAGAAGCGGCGACGGCAGAAAGGGGGUGGCAGGCAUUGGCGGAAAUGGGAGGGAGUGAGGGAGGAGGAAGAAGAGGGUGAGAGGGUGAGAGGAGAGAGAAAAAGGAGGGAAAGAGAAAAAAUUGUUAUUUUUUUAUUUAAUAAUAAAAGAUGGAAAAAUAUAAAUGAGUCUUCCCUCAAAGAAGUUGCAAUAAUGACAUUCUUGAUCUAGUUAUUAUUAUUUAUUUAUUUUAAAUUUUUAUUAAUUAUUUAUUUAUUUAAAAAAUAUUAAAUAUUGAUUCAUUAAUAAUUAAUAUAAUAUAAAUUUAAAAAUUUAUCAAAUUACUUCCAAUAAAAUUAAAAUCAUUAAAAUUUAAAUUCAUAGGUAUUAUAAUUUUGCUCUACUUUAAUUAAAAAAUAUUUUUUUAGAGCUUGAUAUUUAUUAUAGUUCAAAAGCUAAGCUGAAUUCUUUAAUGAAUUAAAAACUUUGACUAGUGUAAAUUGGAUACAUUUACGAAGUUGAUGACCAAAUUGCUAAAGAAUAUUAAUAAAUUACUCAUUGUCUUUAAAUUUAGAGGUCAAAUUGAUUUUUAUCAUUUCAAAGAAAUUUGUUAUGUCAUAAAAAAUAUUGUUGUGUAGCUAAGGUGCGAAAAUCAAUGCUUAUAGAUAUACUAGAAAGGUCCACAGAAGAAACUCUGUUAGUCUCUUGGCAUUUAACUCUAGUGAAGCUACAUGGGUUUUGGUUAGGAAGCCAGUUUUUAAGGAUAUUUGGGUCGGGUAGAGCGUUCUUGAAGUUGAUAAGAUUCUGGGUAUCUCUGUUUACGGAGGUAAAAGGCUAUGGUGCUACUUGUAGUUGUAGGUGCAGAGAGAGGAAAGUGAACGAAAUAAGCAAAAGAGAGAAAUGGGUUUUCAUUUUUGUCCGAAUGGGUACUCAGAAAAGAUAGAUAUAGAAAAGAAAGAGCAAAAGAGAAGGCGUUUUUAGGGUUUGAGAGCUGCCAUUAGGAAAAAGAGCUGCAAGCUCUGCUUUUCUAGAGAGAGAAAUCUUGUUUCUUUAGUAGAGAGAGAAAGAAGAACAGUAGUAGAGGAAGAAGAAGAAGAAGAAGGAGAGUCAAAAGACGGAGUAAGGCAGAUUAGAAGGGUAUUUAUCAAGUGGGGAGGAGUGGACACAGCUGUUCCUCACAUGCCAUGUGCCUCUCCCUUCUUCUUCUCGCCCUCACUCCCUCACUAUACCACAGAAAACCCAUUUGUUUAACAUUGUUUUCUGUCUCUAAUCUAAACUUUUCUAUUUCUUAAUAAUCCUAUUUUAAUCAUCUCUUGUCUCUUUAAGCAUGCUGUUUAGGGUACAUGAACAAUUUUUAAUACAGUUAAAAAGCAAGAGAGAAAGAGAGAAAGAUAAAUUUCUUUUAUUUGGGAAGAAAAAGAUAUUGUCUCUUUGUCUCUCUACUUCUUCCUUCUCUAAAAAAAAGAUUAUUUCUUUAUAGUGUAC
rnacentral:lncRNA from 1 species